GUCAUGGUGAGCAUCACAGCCUGCGGACUGCACGUGACCUGUUGACAUGUGGGUAGAGCAGGUGAACCGCUGUUUGUGUUGUCUUGUCUGUGUUUAUAGGAUGUCGUGGACUCCCUGGUUGACUGAUUAUUUGCUUCUUUUGACACGGGCUGUGUAUGGAACCAACAGGCUCCCCAUCUAUCAUUUGACCAUUUGUCCCUUGGUCACAGCCUCGAGUCGACUGGACUAUGGCCCUGAGUCGAUUUGAUCUCCGGUAUUACAGGAAAGCUUUGGGUCGCUGGACGGUAACAUCACCUGCGAGGUGUGAGUCGCCAGGACAGCACCCACCCCACUGGCGGAGCCACAUCUCAGGUGUAGACAGUCCAACUCGCAGGAAAUGGAGGGAAUCGAACGCGGCUCUGGUCAGACUUUAAAUGGAUGUUGUCAUGCAUGUUUGUAACUGGUUAUGCCAAGUAUGGUAUAUACAGUUUUUAUCAUAUAAAAAUAAUUCCUUAAUACAGAAGUAUUAUGACAGAGAAGGAUCAGUAUGGGAUUAUAGAACGACAAAGAUAAUCAAGAGGUAAUGGCAGCUAGCGGAAGAAGAAGGAAACACCUGUACGAAACCUAGAGAUUGUUUUGUUUGUGGCGACUACCAGGUGUUGACAGUGUCACCUGAGUAAGGUCGGGUGAGGAUGGGACAGUGUGGCAAACACACCAUCCACUCACUGCACUUCCUUGUCAUUGCUUUUAAUAUUGAAGCUUGUAUCUGUGUGUACAAUAGGUUUUGCAUUUCAAUUGAAAGUGAGAGUGGAGAGACGGCGGGCCAGCCGCCGAGUGAAACUGAAUAUAAACUACAGUUGUGCGGCGAUUUCCAUCUUUGUUGUGUUCUUGUGCCACCAGCCCACCCUGGGUACCCAGCAGGGACUGGCGUGUUGUUACAAGUGCUGAAAAUAAAAGCUCAUCAGAGACCUCCGGUGUACAUCAGCUUCAUGACUGUGACAUUCCUGAUGGAAUCUAAUGUGUUUGAUCGAGUGUACGCACACACACACACACACACAAAUAAUUUCCCGUGGUUUAUUUUUGUUCUUUCAAGGUAAUAAAAUAUCAAGCCAAUUUUUAUAAGAAUCUUCUUUACAAACAUAGCUGAGCAAGAAAACAAUAAACAUUUAUUUUUCUGGUAUUUAUAUAUUUAUGACAUACGAGUUUUAAUAAAAUGUAUUGCUGCUGUUUUGUACUUUUUACUAACUGCCAUUUUCUCUAAACAUAACUGUGAACAAAGUUUAUCUUGCUUUUUAAAUUGCCACUGGUCUGACAAGCCAAGGGCAAUGUAAAUAAUGUUUUCUUCUCCACGCAGACAGGACCUGCUAUGCAAGGCUGUCAUGAUGGCCACCUGAUUGUUUUUAGCACAUGCACAAGCUCUUUAGGAAGAACAUAAAGAGAACAAGAAGGAGGAAUUCUUCAGAUGAGCAGUGAUAGUGCUUUAACUGCAUUGAUACAAUUCUAUCUCAGUGUCUAGUAUCUCUGGCUCAGCUGUAAUAUUUUGUGUGUGUCAAUAAAUAUAGUAAAAUCAUGUUACAAAAUAUUAAACAUAAUAAAUUUGCAAAUUCAGGCAAUUUUUAAAGAAGUUUGUUGAAGUAUUUUCCCAAUAUUCAAUCUACAUAGACUGAAAGAAGUGUAAGUGAAAUGUGCAAAUGUAGAUGUGUCACUGUAUUCUUUUUU